rnacentral:lncRNA from 1 species
UUUUUAUUUACUAUUAAUGAUAUAUUGAACUAUAAAAUUGUCAAUUGACUGUGUGUAAACAUCUGUUUUUGCUUGCAUUGUAUAUGAGGGCCCAAGUGUUAUUGUGACUAUCUGUGUCAAUCCUCUUUAAAUAAUUAAUUAUUAUUAUUUUUAUAACUGUUGAUGCAAUUUCAUGUUUCCUACAAUUUUCCAUUACUUUAAACAUAUUGUAGUUUGAUCUUGAACUAACCUCUCUAAUAUUAAAUAUAGGUAUAACCUAUUCAUACAACUUUCACUCUAACUGCUUCCUGUGUCAUUAUCAUCUGGUUCAGAGUAAAUCUCUGGUAUAUUAUUCAGUAUCAUAAAAACCCUCAUCAGUUCAUUUCUUUCAGCCUGAUUUAAAAAAUCAUAAAAAAAGCUAACAUAAAUUUGAGCUUUAUCUUCUGGGUCCAAAGGUUCAUUCCUUUCAAUUUUCUCAUAAUGACUUCUUGAUAUGACCAACAUGGUGAUUGACACCUGAAAUGAAGCAAACAUUUAGAACAUGAAUAACUAGAAACUAGAGGCUCUAAAGAGCCUGUGUCGCUCACCUUGGUCUUGUGCAUAUUAAACAAUGGACACGGAUAAAUUCAUGACAUAAUUGUGUUUUGGUGAUAGUGAUGUGUUUGUAGAUCUUACUUUACUGAACAUUCUUGUUGCUACAAUUAUCUCUAUCUAUAAUGAACUUGGCCCAGUAAUUACAGUGGAAAAUAUUUUCUAAAAAUUAACAAAAAUUUAUGAAAAAUGUUAAAAAUUAAC